AUUCGUUGGAUGAAUGUGAGGCAUUGGAUUGAUUUCGUUCAAUCCGAUCCCCACAUUCAUCAGGGAUUCGU
rfam:Nicotiana sylvestris Nsyl_contig296164, whole genome shotgun sequence.